GACGAACGCUGGCGGCGUGCUUAACACAUGCAAGUCGAACGGUGAAGGGGCCUGCUUUUGUGGGCCCUGGGUGAGUGGCGAACGGGUGAGUCACACGUGAGUAACCUGCCCCCUUCUUCUGGCUAACCGCAUGUAAGUCUGGCUAAUACGGGAUAUUCUGGGUCUGUCGCAUGGUGGGUCUGGGUACGAUUGCGCCUUUGGGUGUCUCUGGUGGGGGAUUGGCUCGCGGGCUAUGAGCUUGUUGGUGGGGUGAUGGCCUGCCAAGGAGGUGACGGGUAGCCGGCCGGAGGGUGUGGACGGUGACACUGUGACUGGGACACGGCCCAGAGUCCUACGGGAGGCAGCAGUGGGGAAUAUUGCACAAGGGGCGCAAGCCUGAUGCAGCGACGCCGCGUGAGGGAUGGAGGCCUUCGGGUUGUAAACCUCUUUCGCCAGUGAAGCAGGCCUGCUCCUUGUGGGUGGGUUGACGGUAGCUGGAUAAGAAGCGCCGGCUAACUACGUG
rnacentral:rRNA from 1 species